CCCCUUCGGGGGACAGGGUGACAGGUGGUGCAUGGUUGUCGUCAGCUCGUGUCGUGAGAUGUUGGGUUAAAGUCCCGCAACGAGCGCAACCCUCGCCUCUAGUUGCCAGCAUCGGUUGGGCACUCUAGAGGGACUGCCGGCGACAAGUCGGAGGAAGGUGGGGAUGACGUCAAAUCAUCAUGCCCCUUAUGACCUGGGCUACACACGUGCUACAAUGGGCGGUACAAAGGGCUGCGAACCCGCGAGGGGGAGCGAAUCCCAAAAAGCCGCUCUCAGUUCGGAUUGCAGGCUGCAACUCGCCUGCAUGAAGCCGGAAUCGCUAGUAAUCGCGGAUCAGCAUGCCGCGGUGAAUACGUUCCCGGGCCUU
rnacentral:rRNA from 1 species